GCUAAUUUUGUUGCGAUUAAAAGGGAUUUCUGAAAAUCGGAUUCUUGAAGAUCUUCUUUAUAAUUUCUCUUGGUUCUCUUUCAAAAUUUGUAUCUUUCCUUCAUUCAGAUCUUUGAGAAAUCGCCAGAGAGAGAAUCCCUUUUGAUUGAUUGAGAGAGGAGCCGUUCAUUGCGAAUCAAGCAUUCUCUGGGUAAAUAUAUCUCCGUCUUCUUAUUCUUUCUCAUAAUUCUUAGGGUUUGUUUACUUUCCGCCAUUGUUGAACUCGCUUUCGUCUCUCUGUAACACUUCUUCUACCCGGAGAACAGACACGACGAAAAGUUGAGUCAGAGCACGACCUCGAGAAAGGCGAUCUCCAUCAAGAAACAUUCUCUGGUCUCUUUCGAAACCAUCAAAUCCUAAUCGAAGAGAUCACUCAUCGAGAGAGAGAGAGAGAGGAUGGACUCCAAAAUCGUCUCCAUCUCACGCAAGGCCAACGCUGCCAAACCCUAAUCUAAUCGACGCCAUCGAGACCGAGAAUCGUAGGAAUCACUAACGGUGUAAGGGCCAAACUGAGAGAGACGAUGAGCGAGUUUCAUCGUUUGAGGGAGACGAUCUUUGCUGAGUACAGAGAAGAUCUGAUUUUUUUUGCGACUGAUGAAGAGCCAAGCAACGAGGACAUGGAGAAGAUGAUAUCUGGAGAUGGGUUAGUGAAGAUGAUAUCUUGUAAACAUGCGAUGCGGGAACUGAUAAGAGAUUUGUCUUUAAGUUAUAUGAGAAUGAGAUGCUCGCUAAAUCUUCUCACACUGACUCAUCUUCACCUGUUGAUCUUUUUGUUAAGCAGAUCAAGGAAUGGACUGAGGGGAAUGAGGAUAGUUCCCUACUUGAAGCAAUCUAUGAGCCCUUGAUGAGGAAUGGACUGAGGGGAAUGAGGAUAGUUCCCUACUUGAAGCAAUCUACGAGCCCUUGAUGAGGAAUGGACUGAGGGGAAUGAGGAUAGUUCCCUACUUGAAGCAAUCUACGAGCCCUUGAUGAGGUUACAAAACUAGCUGAAUGUGACAUAUAUCGUACAAGUUCUGAGCUCAUAAACAGCUCCGACAAAGAGGUGUCCAACAGUCAGUCCAAAAGGUUUCUAUCUAAGAUGAUUGAUGCUCGCCAAGUUAUGCUUUUGUGGAGUUGGUUCUGUUGUCCAAGAUGAGUAGAAAUUGCUUUCACUCUUGAUACUUCUUGAUAAUCCAGAUUUUGUCUUGAUAAUCAUGAUUCAGCAACUCAAUUGCUUUCCUUGUGGUAACUCAAACUCUUACAGGUUUAUAUCAAGAACACAAAACUUCUAUUGUCAAAUUCAUGUGAUACUUUUAACUGGUAGGUAACCCAGAUUUUCUCUCAAACAGCUACAGUAAUUUCUGUUUUAAUUGGCGGAUAGAAGUCACUUCAAAGAACUUAAAUGCUGUGUAAGCCACCAAAUCUGAAUCAGGUGCCUGAAGAAAUUCCAAGUAGGAGACAUGAUUAUUUAUGGGAGAAUCACACGUGUGUGGAGCCUUGACGGUCCAUUGAAAUAGAUCAUACGAGCAUAGUAAAAUCUAGUUUCUUGUAAACAGUAUGCUACUUGCCAAAUUGUCCUUAGGUCUCAACUAGACUUGCCAUUUUAAUUGAUUUCUUUCUUGGUUUGUGGUAAUUUGGAUUAUGUUAAAACACAGUUCUUGAUUAUUUAUGUUAAGUUGUGAAAGAAUAUUA